UUGUAUUAAAUUUUAUAAUUUACUUGAAAUACAUUUAAAUUCUUGCUCAUUUCAACUGCACAACUAUACAAAUAGAGCCUAGUAUUAUCCCAAACCAUCACCUAAAACAUUCAAACAAUUGGGAUAGGCAAGUGCAAUUCACAAUGUUUAUGUUUAUAGCUAUAAGAUGAACAAAAUUAAAAUAAUAAAACUAAAAUUUAUGUUUGCAUUUUAUGGCUUGGACCAUCUCCAAACUGGAUUCAGCUUUCUUCAAAUGCACAGGCUAAUGUUUGGACUUGCCAUACUAGUGGAGGAGUGCCUCUCUCCUUAUAUGUUCGUCACUUGUGUAGAAAGACUUUCCCACCUUAUUCUUAAAAAGGUGCAAUGAAAUGAAUGGAAGAAUUUUAUAGAAAAAAAAGGGCAAUCAGCAAAAACCAUGAACUCAAGAAUAUAUCCUGCAAAAAAAGGCAAUCAGUGGAAGGAAGAAUUUUAUAAAGAAAAUCCCUAGCCAAUCAAAGGGCCAACUUAACCUUUUUUUCUGGAGUUCCAAAGGUUGCCAUCAUUCAUCAACAAUGGUGAAGUGUGGCAUAUUCUCUUUAUUCUCUUUCUCUUUCUUGUAACGAGCGACAUGCUCAAGAUACUCUUGAAGUUCUUUCUCCAAUUUUUCAAUGAACUGACUUGUAUGCUCUAGGGAUUGCUCGUACCUAUACUUUUCCAGGGCCUUCUGUUUAGAUAGGGUAUCUGGAGGUGACAUAACUUUUGGUUGAACAUAGUUUUUUCCUCUAUAGAAUAUGAUAGUAUUGUUAGGUUUUAUGUCAAUCACAAUGCCUUUGCUGAGUCGAGUAAGCUCUUCAGCAUAUUCAUGAAUUUGCCCUGGCUUGCAAGGUUUGCAAAUAACCUUCACUGUUUCAUGCUUCUUCCAAUGAAGAUGCAUAUUGAGAACAACGCCUCCGAAUACUCCUCGUCUUCCAACUAGAAUAAAGUUCUUCUUCUUCUCUCCAGUACGCUUGAGGUAAUGCUUCUCUUCCUCGGUUAAUAUUUCAGGAUCAUAUGUUUCAGCUGGCAUUGUGGGAACCUCAAAUUUCCUCAACUUCUCAAUCAACCAUGCCUCCUUUCGCUUGGCCUUGUCAAGUUUAUAUCUAAUCCGAACUUCUGGAUUUGGGGAAUUCAUCUUCUUUUUGGCCUUGAGACGAUAGAACCUGAGUUCAUUCAGUUUGGCCUUUCUAGACAUUUUGACCCUUUUGGUGGUCUUCUUCCCAUUUUCUGGAGAACCAUUUUCAUCAGGCUGCUUACUAAUAGAAAACCUGACAACAGGACUGUCUGUCUUCAGCUCAAUUGACGCACCGCUCAUGUAUCUUCCAUGUAUCCAAUUUCUGAGAAAAUUAUGACUAACAAACACAUUUAACCUGUGUGUCCAUAAAAAAUAAGGAGGAGAAAGUACGCUUGGUGCCUCUCGAAAAGGCAAUGCAGCCCUGUAAUUUCUCAGGUGCACAAAGGUGAUGUUGUUAAUAGAUGGAGUAAUGGAAGUGGCUUGGAGAAAUGAUGAGAGAUUGGGCCCUUUAUGAACUAGAAAAUAGUACCAAACCAAAGAUUCCCUGCAUUAAGUGCACAUGUCAUGUAUUGCAGAGGCAUUUUAAAUGAUGAGAACGCAACAAUAUGGAUUGGUCCAAGACUUUCCCAUUUCCCAUUAAAGGAUGCAGAUGCACUAAUUGCAUGAUAGCUUCAAAGAAUUAUACAAACUAUGAGGUGCAGAUGUAAGGAAGAAAUCAACAGUUCUGGCCAACUACUCUGCUCCUUUGUCAAAACCCCAGAAUCUAUCUCUUAUGGUCCUAAUAUCCUCUCUCCUUGGCUAGCUGUUUAUUUUAAGGCAGUAGUCACCUGGUAUCAAAGCUGAUCUUGUGUCCACAGCUCAACACAUUCCCAUCAUGGAAUUUUAUGGACAUUUUUAGAACCAUAAGCAAGUGAACAUAUUCCUUCAAUUUUAUUUAGUAAAAUGUCUGACAACUAGAUGUUACAGAACAAUUAAGGGGAAAACCCUACAAUUCUACAGAACAGAACAGAACAGAACAGAUAAUCCAACAUUACAAAUUUGAAGCAUCCUAUAAUGUUGAGCUAAAAAUAGUCAUACAAAAGAAAGGCCUUAAUCACUGAUAUCUAAAUAAUAAAAAGCCUCCAUUUGGUUGCCAAGAAAAUAAUCAGUUCAAAGGAAACACACCUUUUGAUAGCGUAGUUAAGUCCAAUAGUGAUGCUGCCCUUGAUUGAACCCACAGCGCCUCUGAUUGAAGCAAACAUUACUGUCUCAUAAACAAAUUCGACAAAGAAACAAACAUAUGACGGUUUUAUUAUUUUGGAGUGAGAUCACCAUGAGAAAAGUUCAUGCCUUCCGGAAUUUGAGGAACCAUAACUUCAUUUUAACUGAUUUUGAGAAAUCUGAUUCCAUGCAGUCUCAUUUGCAAUCUGCGAGCAGGGGCAGACUUAAACUUUUUGAGGUUGAAAUCUACAGAUGAAAUGCAUUCAGCUAGGAAUAAUCUUCCCCAGAUGCUAAAAGUUUCGUUCAAGCCUUUUCUCUUUCCAUUUCAGCGUUUCUCUUUCAUUCCUCUUUCCACACUGCCAUCUUUCCUCUUCUUUGUAUGGGCAAAAAUUGAGAACAUAAAGGACAAUUUUGGCAUUAACUUAUAAAGAUAGCUCUUUUAUUUAAAAACGGCACCGUUUGAUCCAGAUCACUGCAUUUUAACAUGCCCUUUGUGCAGAUAAACGGCGCUAAUUUCAGAGUUCACUUUCAGGCGGUGUCUCCAAAAAUGUCGUUGAGGGCUCUCCUUCUACCCUCACAAAAUACCCUUACAAGUUGUCCAGUGGGCGAAACUGGAGCAAAUUCUAGAUGGGCACCACCCAAAUUCUCAACAUCGCGCGGAGGUCUCUGCAAAACCAAGCAUUCAUCCAAAAGUUUGUGCUUGACAACGGGAAAUGGCGCAAUUACAAAGAACCCACAUGGGAUUGGAGAGGAAGAUGGCUUGAUCAUUGUCGACCACGGUUCGCGUCGUAAGGAAUCAAAUCUCAUGCUAAACGAGUUUGUUGCCAUGUUUAGAGAGAAAACUGGGUACCCAAUUGUAGAGCCUGCUCAUAUGGAGCUGGCAGAGCCCUCAAUAAGAGAUGCAUUUGGUUUAUGUGUUCAUCAAGGGGCAAACCGGGUGAUUGUAAGUCCAUUCUUUCUCUUUCCUGGACGUCAUUGGCACCAGGUAACUCAUUGUAAUUUUCUCUGGUAACUGGAUUACCAACUUAAUCUUUCCCCUUAGAGCUUUACUUUAGUGCCUAAGACAGAUUCAUUCACAUGUUAUUUGAAAGGAUAUUCCUUCCUUAACUGCUGAAGCUGCUAAGGAGCACCCUGGUGUGUCUUAUAUCAUAACUGCACCUCUUGGCCUGCAUGAGUUACUAGUGGAUGUUGUGAAUGAUAGGAUCAAACACUGCUUAAACCAAGUGGCGGGAGAUGCAGAUGAAUGUGCAGCAUGUGCUGGAACAGGCAAAUGCAAGCUCUAUUAGUCUGUGCAAUUGCAAAUUGAAGUCACAUUUGACUGGCAUACUAUUGCUGUUCUCAGUGGGAAAAUUGAACAUAUACUUGAGAGCAGAUGUGAUCAUAUAGAGGAAAUCAAGUAAAUAGAUGUUUCCACUGAGCAUUAUAUGCCGCUAUACUGCUGGUGCCUAAGUAGGACCCAGAAUUUCUUUUACGAAUCUGUAGUUCCUGGGCAUUUUCUGUACUGUAAUUAAAAAGAUAUAUUUACAAGUUCAAUUGUUUUCUGUAACUGUGUAUUGCCUAUCCUUGUGAUCUAUGUUACGCUUGUGUUCUAACAUUAGAUCUUGACCCUUUUGUGGUAUGCAUAAUUCACAUCCUAUUCUACAUUUCUGAACCAAAGAAAUUUUUUCGCCAAAUUCCAAAUAGUUGAGAAUUUCUCCAUGUUGAUUUUCAUGGUAGCAGUGACUCGAGCCUCAGCUUGAGCAGGGGUCUCUUCUUCAACCGUUGCUUGUACAUUACUUCCGAAAUUCCGAGUCUGUCGUUUCAGCUGCUUGUUGAAUGACUUUGCUGCUGCAAAAACAUUACUAGGCCUUUCCCAACCUUGUCCGAAUACACCAUAUCCUUCCUUAAGUUUAGGUUGAAUCAAGAACUCUAGCACUGCCAACUCCUCUUUGUCAACCCAAUGAAUGCAGUUCACAGGGCAUGAAUCAACAGAAACCUGAAUAUUUUGGUCAUUGUCUCCGAAUUGAACUUUGACUCGUGCGCAUCCAAGGGCUUCAUCCAUCACAAACGUGUUACUUGCAUGGUGCACACAUUCUCUGCAACCUAUGCAAGCAUUCUCAUCAACAAAUACUGCUUCGGGUCUGAAUGGCCCUUUCCAGGAGCUGAAACCCAUGACAUUGUUGUUUCUUCCAGACCGCAUUCUCAAUUGACCGAUGGAAACAUCAUACUCCUUCCUGAGAUCCUCUCGCAUAAGGAUCUUAUAAGCCUCAUUCAGCAAUAGAGUAUACUCAUGGCCCUUUUGGCCAGCAAUAUCAGGGUGAUACUUCUUCUGCAACUUCCUAUAAGCCUCUUUGAUUUCUCUGGCAUCUGAAUCAACAGAAACUCCCAGCAACUCAUAGUAAUUCUUGUCUGUUCUUACACUUCCUGCCCUUGUGGUACGGCAUCUUAUCACAGGGCAUCUCUGCCUCCAUCUCAAAAUCAAAGACAAGAAACUAACACUAUAGCAGUACAUGUGCCAUCUCAAUACUAGAAAAACAAUUAAAAUUAUGCAAUUCAAGCAGAGUAUGAGAUUAAAUUAAGAGUAUGAGAUUAAUUAAGUACCUGGUGUUUGGAUUGAAGCAACCAUGAAUAUGGGAAGCUUUGGUCACAGAAAAUGGAUAAGCUGGAGCCAUGGAGAGUGACAUAUUUUUCAGUCCACUGCCUCUGGUUUUUUCUUUAGUGCCCAAAUUUAGCAGCUGGGCUUAACAUUAGAUUUAGAUAUUCCUGGAACUCAGAAAGAUAUUUUUCUCAGUUCAUCUACCAAUCACAGCAUUCCAAGUCAGCAAUUCAAAGUGCAACCCAAGGAUCCCACAUGUGCACCCAGUCAGAAGAUAGAAACGACGCCGUUGACAAAUGGGAAGAGAAACGGCACCGUAUCGCAGACAGAAUGAUUCGUUUCAAAAUUCUCAGAUUCGAGAGCCACUAUUUUCAGCCUUUUGGAAGCCUUCAUUCAUAGGAGGGAGGGAUGACACUUGACAGAAACUAUUUUAACAGCACAAAAUGGCCUACGUGGGAAAAUUCCUCAGUCCAAUUCGACAAUCGCUGUCUUCGAUAGCCUCUUUUUACUGUUCUUCGCUAAUAUCUCGAAGAAAACCAUUUUAUGGCAAAUCAUGGAUGAAACAGCUUAAACCUACAAUACAGAAUCCGUGUUCAAAAUUUCAGUGUAAAAUGAACAUUCACACACAAUAUGUUCGUAAUGUGUAUUUAUCAGGAAGCAUCCUUGGUGUUUCAUUUAUGAUUGGAUCUAUAGGCUUUUCGCAUCAGGUUGUGUAUGCCAUGGAUGGACAAGACAUUUUGGUGGAUGAUAGAGAGUUUUUAGAUGCCUCAGAUACAGAAAGAAAUCCUCCUAUGUUAUGGAUUUUUGUCAGAAAAUUAUGGCUACCUGCUUUUUUCUUUCUGACAGUGUUGGUGAAUUGGGAUCAUCCCAUCAUUCUUUUGACUAAAGUUGCCCUUUUCCUCCUCAGCACGAAGCCCAGCCCUUUAUCAGUUUAUGUAUUUGUUGAACAGUUGUGUCAUCAAUCUAUGCGCCAAGAACCCUACUUGUACUUACUAAAGUCAUUAUAUGCCAACAAAGUUGAAGUCCAGGAUUACAAACUUUUCUGCCUUGCCACGGUUGCAGUAAAAGGCCAGACAAUUACUUUGGUUGGCGUUCUUGGUGGUUGGUGGGUUUUGCCAUUGUCAGAAAGAGCAUUUUCUGUGUUUUGGGAUAGUGCUUUUUAUUGAGAAAAUAAGGUAACUUAACUGCUGAAAAAAAUUUGUUGCUAAUCAACAUUGAAGGCAUGAUGUUUGGCUUUUGAAUUAGUUGAAUUACCUUUAAAAAAAGUUGCUGUUCAUUUCCCUAGUCCACAACCUAUCUGGAGGAAGUUCUGUCCUAUGGCCUCUUCUUCCUUUCCCCUUUUCAUAUAUCCAAUUGAAAAGAACGAAUAAAUGUAUCUUCUACAGCCACAAUGUUAAUGCUGAAACAUGUGUUGGCAUGUGGAGAGUCAAAUCCAUAAGAUUCUUUGCACAGCAGUCUCAGUGUGUCGUAGAAAUAGCAAUAUGCUUAGGCCACUGAAGUAUUUUACACUUCAGAACAAAAAAACUAUAUUUCUGAAAUUUUUUGUGCAGGUACAUGACAGGAUAAAAUAAUUUAUAGACCUUAUAAUCAUUUUUCUUCAAAUUCCUUUUGUGAUCUUUUCUAGGGAGAAAUAUUGCAAUUUAUACCUAAAUUUCCAUUUAUUUCCUCUAUAAAGCUACAUAUUGUUGGACAUUCUUUCUUGAGUUCUUGAGUAACAAUUAAACAAAUGUAAGCCGGGUGUUCAUGCGCCCGGACUCCAUUUCUUGUGUCUUAUACAAGCAAGUGAUAAUCUUCAGCAUCUUCACCAGCUGAAUUAAUGUUGCUAGAAGGGCCACAGAACAUGCUACCCGAUUGAGGGAAGUAGAUGAAGGUGACGGGGAGAGUGAAAAUAAUGAUCAUAAGGCCCAUUAGAGAUAUACUUGUUUGCUUUGAGAAUCUAGAGCCUGAAAACAGUAACAAUUGGGUCACUGCUGCCCCCACAGUUCCUCCACUCCCUGUCAUUCCUGAUAUCACUCCUAACGACCUUUUGGAAACGAAAGGAACCACACCAAACGUGAGGCCAGAAGCAGCUUGAACAAACACGGAGAACAAACACAUCACAGCAAUAGAAUUCCAAAGAUAACUCAUUUGCCCAAGUAAAAAACAAAGUAACCCAGAAGUGGUCUGCACCAUCCACAGCCCCCACAGCCUCCCUCUAAUCCCAAAUCUCUUCCCCAUCUUAUCGGAUAAAACCCCUCCCAUAGGCCUGGAAAAGAAGUUGGCCAAUCCAAAACUUGCGGCAAUCAUCCCUGCAACCUGAAGAUUCACUCCAAAUCUGUCGUAGAAGUACUGUGCAAUAAUAUUAUCAGUUGUCAAUUCUGAACCAAAGCUAAACCCAUAUGUUAAUCCCAGAAUCCAACCUCUGUAAUUCUUUAACCCAUUAAAAAGAAACUCAGGAAAGUUUUGUUUCUGCUGUUUCCCAGCUCUCUCUGAGUAUUUAUAGUCCCCAGAAGGGAGGUCUUGGCCAUAGGCCAGGACCAUUAUAGCUGUUAGAGCUUGAAAAAUUCCCGGGAUAAGAAACGAGACUCGCCAAGCAGUGAAGGAAGGUACAUGUAAUGAAUUCAUUAUAAAAGAGUAAAUCAGUGGCAUAACUAACUGUGCCACGCCGGUUCCCAUGUUAGCCCAGCCAGCGGAGACACCAUUGGCGAGCCCGACCACACAUCCAGAGAACAUGCAGCUCAUCCAGAACUGGUUAGCUACAAAGUUAGCUAAAGAGAAUCCAACAAGAAAACGAACGAGGAUAAAAUAAGCAGGAGAAGUAACAAAACAAGUAGACACGAUAAUAGGAGCAGUAAUGAGAGAGAGAGUAGCAGAGGCAAUACGAGGACCCAUGACAUCGCAGACAGGCCCCAUGGCAAGACGAGAGAAGAUGGAGCCAACAAACGAGGCAAUGCCUGCGUUGUCUAUGUCAGCGUCCGUAAGGUUAAGGUUGUCGCGGAUUACAGGCAAAAGAGGAGGGAUAGAAAAGGUGGAUAAGAAGCAGGAGAAGAGAGAUAACCAUGAUAGGUGAAAAGCAAGCAUGUGAGGUGAUGAUAAUGAGAGUGGCCGAAAUUUAGUAGCUUUGUAUUCUUCAUCUACUGGAAGAGAGAAAGGAAUUUCCAUGGACGAUUUGAAAAUUCACAAAGAAAAUGGCAAGAAAGUUAAUUAAUAUAUUUGUUGUAUAGUGUAUAAUCAUUAUUGCGUGUGU
rnacentral:misc_RNA from 1 species